CGGAGCAGUUUAGACGAUCGCUGGAUCAUUUUUGAUUCAGAGGAAAGUCCGAACACUGGAGGGCAGGGUGCUCCAUAACAUGGAGUCGCGGUGACGUGAAGGAAAGUGCAACAGAAAGUAUACCGCCCUUUUUCAGUGAUUACUGAAAAAGGGUAAGGGUGAAAAGGUGCGGUAAGAGCGCACCAGUUCUUCGGGUGACCGGAGAAGCUUUGUAAACCCCACCCGGUGCAAGACCAAAUAGAGGAGUGUUUGAGGAUGGCCCGUCCAAGCUCCAGGGUAGGUCGCAAGAGAUGUCGGGCAACCGGCAUCCUUAGAUGAAUGAUCGUUGUUCUGUCCGGGGUAACCCGAACAGGGUACAGAAUUCGGCUUAUAGGCUGCUCCGACCU
rnacentral:RNase_P_RNA from 1 species